rnacentral:misc_RNA from 1 species
AACAUCGCGCACCUGCGGGAACCUGCGGAGGGAUCAUUAAUGAUUGGUGGCUGUUGCUGACUAGUGUUUCUAGUAUGUGCACGCCACACCUUCAAUCCCACUUACACCUGUGCACCUUCUGUAAUAGAUCUAUGUGGAUACGGAGAUAUGAAAGUUUGCGCUCUCGUACUCUGUUGAAGCAGUCUGCUACGUUUUUUUACACACACACAAUAGUCAUUGAAUGUAUUUUUUAUUCUUAUG